UACAGAGGUCCCAAGCGUUGUUCGGAUUCACUGGGCGUAAAGGGUGCGUAGGCGGUCGGGUAAGUCUGAUGUGAAAUCUCACAGCUUAACUGUGAAACUGCAUUGGAUACUAUCCGGCUCGAGGAAUGGAGGGGAGACUGGAAUACUUGGUGUAGCAGUGAAAUGCGUAGAGAUCGGGAGGAACACCAGUGGCGAAGGCGGCCUUCUGGACCAAUACUGACGCUCAUGCACGAAAGCGUGGGGAGCAAACAGG
rnacentral:rRNA from 1 species